UGGUGGAGUUAUUUGUCUGGUUAAUUCCGUUAAUGAACAAGAAUACUGCAUGCUAAAUAGUCUGGCAAGUGUUUUACACUGGUGGUGGAUUCAUAGAGGGAUGUUCAUUUCAGCUUAAUGUAGGAAGAUG
rnacentral:rRNA from 1 species